UACGGGGGGAGCAAGCGUUGUUCGGAUUUACUGGGCGUAAAGGGCGCGUAGGCGGCCUCCUAAGUCAGACGUGAAAUCCCCCGGCUUAACCUGGGAACUGCGUCUGAUACUGGGAGGCUUGAGUAUGGGAGAGGGAUGUAGAAUUCCAGGUGUAGCGGUGAAAUGCGUAGAUAUCUGGAGGAACACCGGUGGCGAAGGCGGCAUCCUGGACCGGUAUUGACGCUGAGGCGCGAAAGCCAGGGGAGCAAACGGG
rnacentral:rRNA from 1 species